rnacentral:rRNA from 1 species
CGCGUAGGCGGCCUUCUAAGUCGAACGUGAAAUCCCUGGGCUCAACCCAGGAACUGCGUCCGAUACUGGAAGGCUUGAAUCCGGGAGAGGGAUGCGGAAUUCCAGGUGUAGCGGUGAAAUGCGUAGAUAUCUGGAGGAACACCGGUGGCGAAGGCGGCAUCCUGGACCGGCAUUGACGCUGAGGCGCGAAAGCCAGGGGAGCAAACG